rnacentral:tRNA from 1 species
AGCCGCAAUAGCUCAGUUGGUAGAGUAUCUCAUUCGUAACGAGACGGUCGUGGGUUCGAGUCCCACUCGCGGCUCCCA